rnacentral:rRNA from 1 species
UACGUAGGCGGCAAGCGUUGUUCGGAAUUACUGGGCGUAAAGAGUGUGUAGGCGGUGCUCCAAGUCUGGUGUGAAAUCUCCCGGCUUAACUGGGAGGGUGCAUUAGAAACUGGAAUGCUAGAGGAUGGGAGAGGUAAGCGGAAUUCCUGGUGUAGCGGUGAAAUGCGUAGAUAUCAGGAGGAACACCUGUGGUGUAGACAGCUUACUGGACCAUUUCUGACGCUGAGACACGAGAGCGUGGGUAGCAAACAGG